CCACUUCUCUGUCUCGUUUUCAAGCUCAAAACCACCCAUGGUCACCGCUACCUCCCCGUCAUUGCCGCAGCCACCGUCGUCUCCCGCGUGUGGGAGCACGUCCAGGAGGUCUGCUGCAGCCGGAUCCGUCCGUUCCGGGGACCAACUCAAGCCGGGACGGUCUGUGCGCUCGCCAUCGACCUCGUCUACGCCGCGUACAUCGCCUGCAUCCAUCGUCGAUUGCCGCCACGCUGGUUCGUCCCCGAGCACCCUGACCACGUCCCUAAGUUCACUGUCAGCUCCUCUGCCCACUCCCCCUGCUCGCCCUCUCGAUCCGUCGCCGUUUAGCCGGCCCCCACUUCAGCCGCCAUGGAUGGAGCUUGCGCUCGCCCGCCCCUGCAUAUCCUCAGGCCGAGCCCUGUUGCCCCCCGAGCCGCCCGCGCACGCGCUUGCAAGCCCUGCGUCGCGCCCUUGCCUCACCCCUGUAUGCUCGCGCGUGCGCGCCCGUACCCGCUACUGCGCGGCCCUACUCCCGCCGCCGCUGCUGCUUGUUAUCGCUGCUGCCGCUUGCCUCUGUUGCUGCUUGCUCCUGUUGCUGCACUCCUACCGCUGCCACAUGCUGCUAGCGCCCCCGCGUCUUGCGCCUCCCCGUCCAUUCUCGUCGUGCCGUGCUUCGGCCAUGACCGGCCUAACAUGCGUGCACGCGAGCAUCCAACACUCCUGGACAUGUUCGUGCUCCUGUGCGUGCUCUGCAGCCAGCUAACAAAAGUGAUUAGUGCUAGGAUUUGUUUACUGUUAGGUAUCACAUGUCAACCCAAAUAGAUCAGGCCAAUUUUUUUUAUUAGAACUAGUGUUUUGAUUCGAGUCAAUUACAUGUGGGCCAUGUCCCAGUUGUUGACCAGUCAAAUCUCAAUUGUUGACUGGGUCAACCUAGUUGACCGUCCCCACAAGUCAGCCUUUGUGGCUAAACAGCCACCGGGUACACAUAACACGUAUUAUAUAAAUUCGAAUUAGGUAUAUUCCAGAAAAUACAAAAAUUGUUUAAAACUUUGGAAAUUCAUAGAAAAUAAACCUUAGCUCGGAUGAAAAAGUUUUACACAUGAAAGUUGCUCAGAACGACGAGACGUAUCUGAAUACGCUGUCCUUCGCCCGCCACACGUCCCUAUCAUAGCAAACGUUGAACCUUUCCCCUCCGGUUCAUCUGUCUGACGGACGUCCGGAACCGGGGAAACUUCCGUGAAUGUUUUCCCCCUUCGCCAGUAUUGCCCAGCACUGCGUUACAACAUCUCUAGCACCACUUUUUGCCUUGUUAUGCUUUUAUUUGCGUGUAUUUACUCUUUCUUCCCCCUCUUCUCUCCGAUAGACCUCGAGAUCGUUGCUGAUGCCCCUGUGAUCGGCUACAUCACCGACGACACUUCUUCCCUUUCAGCGGAGCUUUCAGGCAAGCCCCCUGAGGGAGUCCUGGAUUAGGGGGUAUCCGGACAGCCGGACUAUAUACAUCGUUCGGACUAUUGAAGCGUGAAGAUACAAGACUCAAGACUCUGGCUCGUGUCCGGAUGAGACUCUCCUUUGCGUGGAAGACAAGCUUGGCAAUCCGGAUAUUAUGUUUCCUUCCUUGUAACCGACUCCAUGUAAACCCUAGCCCUCUCCGGUGUCUAUAUAAACCGGAGUGGAUGGUCCUUAGAAGGCCGAUCACAAUUACAAUCAUACCAUCAUAGGCUAGCUCUUAGGGUUUAGCCUCUACGAUCUCGUGGUAGAUCUACUCUUGUACUACUCAUAUCUUCAAUAUUAAUC
rnacentral:lncRNA from 1 species